GCAAGUCGAGGGGUAACAGAUGAAGCGCUUGCUCAGAUUGCUGACGACCGGCGCACGGGUGAGUAACACGUAUGCAACCUACCUUUUACAGAGGGCUAGCCCAGAGAAAUUUGGAUUAAUACCUCAUAAUAUUUUUAACUCGCAUGAGUUUUAAAUUAAAACUUCGGUGGUAAAAGAUGGGCAUGCGUUCUAUUAGUUUGUUGGUAAGGUAACGGCUUACCAAGACUACGAUAGAUAGGGGUCCUGAGAGGAUGGUC
rnacentral:rRNA from 1 species